UUCAUUAAAAAUUUAAAUUAAAAUGCAGAGCCCCCUGGACCGGUGGCCAGGACCCGGGCAGUGUGAGUACCACUGAAAAUCAGCUUGCAUGCUGCAGGUUGUCUACCCCUGCUCUAGCCAAACAGAUUGGCAUGGGAGAAGCAGUUGCUUUCUCAUCAGGCUGUUGCCCUGGACCGUUCUCCCUAUAUCCCCCGCCCCUUAUCUCGUAUAGGUCUGUGGAAUUAAUUCUAUACGUAAUGGCCACCUUGUAAAAUUUUAAUACCAUUUUUGUGAGGGGGUAUGGGAUGUGGUCAGGCAAAUGAAUGACAUAGGGAAAGAGUGGGAGAUUGAUGGGAUAAGCUAGGAAAGAGAAUUACAGGGUGUGCAUAUAAAAUAUGAGAGAGAAACAGAUUUGUGGGGUAUAUGGAAGAAAAGAAACCAAAAUGUACAGGGCAGGAGGUAGAGCUCUCAGUGAAGAGAAAGAGAGGUUAGGAGAUGGAGAAUGGGAGAAGGUAAACAGGAAACGCUUUGAAAAUGACCUGAGAAACGUCACCCUGAUCUGUUACAGGAAAGAGAAGGUAAAGUGAAGCCAUGUAGGAAAAUGCCUAACCAAAAGCAAGAAAAGGGUGGGGGAGUAUGCAUGUGCUGUUGAUUGUGAUCUGCUUUACACAGAAUUAAAUGUUGUGCUAAAGUUACAAGUGACAUGCAACUCACUCACUCCUAUUAUCUCCCUGUGGCACAUCAUAAUAGCUUAGUUUCCUGUGGGAUGUGAUACUUAUGUCUGUGUUUGAGUUUAGCAUGCAGGAGCUCGGUGCUGUCAGUGGUUUGACUAGAUUAUCUGGUGAUCCCUUCUUCCCUGAACUGUAGGACUCUUCGGGUGCAAGCUAAAGCGAGAUGAGCCAUGUUGAAUCUGAUAUGAAUGUCUGCAUAUGCUGGUUUAACACGGCUGCUACUCUGAAACAUGUUAAACUCAAUUAGUUAAUCAGUUCAGCAUCACAUCUUUAGGUGAAUUGGUAUAACUUCUUUGUGUAGCCUGUAGCUCAUGAAAGCUUAUGCUCUAAUAAAUUUGUUAGUUUCUGAGGUGCCACAAGUACUCCUUUUUUUUUUUUUUUACGGAUACAGACUAACACAGCUGCUACUCUGUAACCCACUGGAGUUCAUCAAUUGAUAUUCAACUGAUAGUUUUCUUUGUGGUAUUCAGUCAUGGUGGUCACAUUCUGCUUGGUGACUAUCAUAUGGUGGAAUGUAUUGAAUAACAUAGCCAAUGUCUUUUUCCUGCCAGUUGACCAGCCCUAGUAGUAAGAUGUGUGCUUUUAAAGUUUGAUAGUUAAUUUGAUUGUAUUCUGCUCAGGGUAGGGAGUGCCCUCUUCUGUGUUUUGGAAAACACCAUACACGGGUGCUGUUGCAAUAUAUAAUAAAGAUUGAUUGAUGAUAAUACAAUUACAGUAUCUAACUGUUCCUCUAACUUUAAGUUGCAAGAGGCGCAGUAGCAUGUAUUUUCACCACGGCAAAUCCCUUUACUAGCAGUUGUCAAGUAAAUUUUCAAGGCCUGACUUACUCACUGAAAUCACUUGUGUUUGCCAUGCAGUUUCUUAUAGAAUGCUUUUAAUUAACUAGAAGCACAGGUGGAAAUUUUCUUAAUGCUGAAAUAUGUAGCAUUUGCUUUUGAUACAUACUUUGAAACUUUUCACACUCCAUCUAGAAAACCUUUCAUAGGAACUUCAUAGCAAUACAAGUUGUGAUCUCAUCUGCUCAUCUCAUCAAGCAGGAACAGUAUACAGUGUGAAUAGGAACCCUCCAACUACAAAGUAAAAUCCACGUGCUGCAGGAAGUACUGUUGGUGAAUCAAUAGAUGGCACUUUUCCCUCCAAGAUAUGUCUACACUGCAUUUAGAUACCUACAGCUGAUGUGGGCUAAGGGGCUGUUUAAUUGUGAUGUAGACAUUCGGGCUCCUAGCAGAGUCCUAGAGCCUGGGCUCCAGCCCAAACGGCUACAUCGCAAUUAAAUAGCCCCUUAGCCUGAGUCAGCUGGCACGGACCAGCCAUGGGUUUUUAAUUGUAGUGUAGACAGACCCUAAGUCAUUACUUAACCAAGAUCUCCACUGUAGUGCUAGACAGCAGUCUGCUGUGAAGUUACCUUUUUUAGGAGAAAUCAUACAACUGAGGGGUCUCACUAAUUGUAAUCCUUGAAGAUCCCAAAGCAUUAUAUAUAUCAGGAAAGACUAUCCUAAUUGGCUGUAAUUGAUGUGAAAGGCUUAUCCACUGUUGGCCAGUUUUGAAACUAGAAAAGUUAUUUACUUGCGAUAUGAAAUUCAACUGUAAGUUUAAACUUUUCAAAUUUUUUGGUGUAUUCAUUAAUAUGGAGGUUUUGUGCCCUAUUAAGUAGCUGCCAUGUUCCUCCCUGCAAGUAUGGAGGGACAGGUGUUUGUAUGUGUAUUGUAAAGGCCUGUGAAAUCCUUUGGGAGGGAAGGUGCUACUGGGUAUCAGUGUAAGAUGUUCAUGGUUUUAACAUUCUAUUCCACUGCAAGUACCAGAGAAGGAAAUUCUGCAUGACACCAGUGGUGCCUCUGCUGGGGAAUGUGCCUGGCCUGUCAUAUACCUUCUCCUUGUGGUUGGAUCAGAAAGCCUUUUCAGCACCAUGAAGGCAGCCACAUGCCAAAGAGUAAAGCGUCAGGUGGUGCUAAUUUCACUGACUAGCAAACAAUGCUUUGUACUUGUUGCUGGCACAGUCAAAGCUUUGCUUAGUUUGUCUGACUACUAUCAAGACUUGCUCCUUAGUUUAUUUGUAGGCUUCCCUGUGGUGCUAAUCACCAUCAUAACUGAGCUCAUCAUUACUAGUCACCUAUUCCAUGAAAAAACUGAGGUUAGUAAUGUGAGACGCUAAUCUAAGGUGCUUGGAUACCAUCAUACAAGAAUUUAGAGCCCAUACUGUGGGGUUGAGAUGAAGGGGGUGGUGACAGGAAAGCCAAAACCACUAGAGGGAACAGAGGAAAAGUGGUGAGCAGAUGCCAAGAAGAGACCCUGGAUACUUCAGUGGCAAAUACUUAAACUCAAUUAUCUUCAGAAAAUAUUUUAAAGUCCCAAUUUUCAGAAUGUGAUUUCUGCAGUAGCAAACGGGCUGUUCUUGGCAAAAUGAGUACAUCCUCUUCCCCCAUGCCAGGAAAGGCUCUGCUCACUCUUCACUUCAGGAGAGUGGAAUCCUUCAAACAGGAUUUCUGUCUUUUGAGAUGCAUGCUACAAAAUGGUAGAGUUUUAGUAUGAAUUUAGGGUUCGUGUGCACAAGUUUGGGCCACUUUAUGUGGGUUAUAGGCUGGUUUUUGAAUGGUGUCUUAAGGGCAGAGGAGGUCUCCAAUUCAGUGUAGUCUCCUCUUACAAACCUAAGGUCGCACAACUGCAGUAGGAUGGGCAACAUGAAUCCUGUCAAAGUGUGAUUCUUAACACCACCUCUCUAUCCACUGAAUUAAACUCACUUCCUUAUAAAAUGUAACCAGUAUGCUUCAAAAAAAACUGUCUUAAUUGUCUGUCUUCCACUUCACAAAGCGUAACAGUAUUGGGCAGAAUAGUACUUGGAAAAGUGAACUCCACAAAGUGUCCCAUCCCACCAAAAGAAAGGUUUGCAUAUGAACUGUGACUCUUCACAUAUGCAAGAGAAAUUGUGCAAGGCAAUAUAUUGCAUGAAAAUCUAUUAAAUACUAUUGAUCAAACAUGAAGAUAUAUGUAAAACAUUAACUUAAUACAUCAAGCUAAUAGCUUUCACGUAUUAGUAGCCUAACAAAUAGUCCCAUGAGGUCAAGAAUCUGGCUGUUUGUAUUUACCAUAUAAUGAAUACCGAGAACUGCUUUAAGAGGUCAGGGCAGAUACUGUAGGGUUAAUGGAUCAGCCUACUCUGUAUAGGAGUUGAUCUAGCACUCCUGACGUUCAAACACUGCUUGUUUUUUCAGACUAUAAUUGUGUCCCUGCCAAGGUUUCAUUGGCACAUCUUAUGCUACUUAUGCACAUUUCAUUGCUACUCUAAGUGACACAGGUCAUAAAUAAAACAAGGGAGAGCACAGGAGAUGUUACUGAAGCAAGUACAAUUUAAAAAAUCCCAAGUUUGAAAAAAGCAGUUGUUCUCCAUUUUCCCUGAUAACCCACAAACUAGGCAGCCUUGCUACUAGGAUCAGAGAAACUGGCCUAACCCAUACACUUACUAUCCUUGCAGCUCCCUCUACCUUCUUGUGACUUUUAGGAACUCUGUGUUAGCUCUGUGUGCUGUGAACUUUAUUGAUGACCAAUUGUGCUCAUUUGUCUGAUUGAUCUGUACUCUUACUGCCCCCUGAAAAUAUUAAAUGCUCAUCUUUCCUCUUAUUAGUCUGACUUAAAUACGCUAAUGGUGAUCUAUUGUACAGUUAAUGAUAUUUCGUAAGUGACAUAUAGCCUAUUCUCUGUUUUUCUAUAUUAAGGCAUCAGUUUCAGGAAAGUCCUUAAGCCAGCCCUUUGGGCUUUAUCACAUGAUUGAAAUACAGUGAUUUCUUUUUGCUCUCUGCCCCCCAGGCUUUAGGUCUGAUACUGGGAAAUUUUAACUUGUGUAAUUUUUAACUGUCUC